rnacentral:sRNA from 1 species
UAAUGACCUGUAGUCGCCACAUGGACGC